rnacentral:rRNA from 1 species
UCGGGAAUUUUGGGCAAUGGGCGAAAGCCUGACCCAGCAACGCCGCGUGAGGGAUGAAGUAUUUCGGUAUGUAAACCUCGAAAGAAUGGGAAGAAUAAAUGACGGUACCAUUUAUAAGCUCCGGCUAACUACGUGCCAGCAGCCGCGGUAAUACGUAGGGAGCAAGCGUUGUUCGGAUUUACUGGGCGUAAAGGGCGCGUAGGCGGCGCGGUAAGUCACUUGUGAAAUCUCUGAGCUUAACUCAGAACGGCCAAGUGAUACUGCUGUGCUAGAGUGCGGAAGAGGCAACCGGAAUUCUAGGCGUAGCGGUGAAAUGCGUAGAUAUCAAGAGGAACACCUGCGGCGAAGGCGGGUUGCUGGGCCAACACUGACGCUGAUGCGCGAAAGCCAGG